UACGUAGGGGGCUAGCGUUGUCCGGAAUCAUUGGGCGUAAGAGCGUGUAGGCGGUCCGGUAAGUCCGCUGUGAAAGUCGGGGCUCAACCCUCGAAUGCCGGUGGAUACUGUCGGGCUAGAGUGCGGAAGAGGCGAGUGGAUUCCUGGUGUAGCGGUGAAAUGACGCAGAUAUCAGGAGGAACACCUAUUGCGAAGGCAGCUCGCUGGGACGUUACUGACGCUGAGACGCGAAAGCGUGGGGAGCAAACAGG
rnacentral:rRNA from 1 species